rnacentral:rRNA from 1 species
GGAUGAACGCUGGCGGCGUGCCUACUACAUGCAAGUCGAGCGAACAGACGAGGAGCUUGCUCCUCUGACGUUAGCGGCGGACGGGUGAGUAACACGUGGAUAACCUACCUAUAAGACUGGGAUAACUUCGGGAAACCGGAGCUAAUACCGGAUAAUAUAUUGAACCGCAUGGUUCAAUAGUGAAAGACGGUUUUGCUGUCACUUAUAGAUGGAUCCGCGCCGCAUUAGCUAGUUGGUAAGGUAACGGCUUACCAAGGCAACGAUGCGUAGCCGACCUGAGAGGGUGAUCGGCCACACUGGAACUGAGACACGGUCCAGACUCCUACGGGAGGCAGCAGUAGGGAAUCUUCCGCAAUGGGCGAAAGCCUGACGGAGCAACGCCGCGUGAGUGAUGAAGGUCCUCGGAUCGUAAAACUCUGUUAUUAGGGAAGAACAAAUGUGUAAGUAACUAUGCACGUCUUGACGGUACCUAAUCAGAAAGCCACGGCUAACUACGUG